rnacentral:rRNA from 1 species
UACGUAGGCAGCGAGCGUUGUUCGGAGUUACUGGGCGUAAAGCGUGCGUAGGCGGUGUCCUAAGUCUGUUGUGAAAUCUCCCGGCUUAACCGGGAGGGUGCGGCGGAAACUGGGAUGCUGGAGUGCGGGAGAGGUAAGCGGAAUUCCCGGUGUAGCGGUGAAAUGCGUAGAUAUCUGGAGGAACACCGGUGGCGAAGGCGGCGUCCUGGACCAACACUGACACUGAUGAGCGAAAGCCAGGGGAGCAAACGGG